GCAUGGCCGAAUUCUGUUCCAGCUAGUCUGUGUUGGAUUCAGUCAGACACCAUGCGAAAGCCAGGUCUCAUUUCUGCUGAAUGACUGGAUGAGUGCUUCAGUCAGCUUCAUCCAACUGUACAGGAAUGAGUACAACA